UGGCAAAGUUCGCUCUCCUCGUAGCCACUUUCGCUCUCGCUUUCUUCCUCGUCAACGCCUCCAUCUACCGGACCACGGACGGCGACGAAGAAAACUGGUACCGACACGAUCGGCGAUCGUGUCAAGACCAGAUAUGGCAGCAAGGCUACCUCCCAAACUGUCAGUGGUACAUGAACGAACAGGCCGGCCGCAGCCACAGCGGAUAUGGCACCCACUACCUCAACUCGUGCUGCUACGAGCUCCAGAACCUAAGGCAGGAUUGCCGGUGCCAAGGCUUGAAACAGGCGUUAGGACAACAGCUGAAGCUGCAGGGAGUACGGUGGGAGAGUCGAGAGGCUGAAGAUAUGUGUGAAGCGGCAGAGACGGCACUGAAUAGGUGUCGUUUAGAUUCUAGGAGAUGUGAUAUGCAUAGUUGAAGACGGCUUUAGAUAUAAAAUCUAAGACCCAAAAAUGCUAAACGCAAAAUAAGUGUAAUGCAUGCAAUGCAUGUUGUUUAGUUGUUCACCGGUUGAGGUUUUUGUAGUAUAUCUGAUAUGAAUAAAGCACAUUAUCGUGUGCAUUGCGUUUAGUAUUU
rnacentral:lncRNA from 1 species